rnacentral:rRNA from 1 species
UACGAAGGGGGCUAGCGUUGUUCGGAAUUACUGGGCGUAAAGCGCACGUAGGCGGACAUUUAAGUCAGGGGUGGAAUCCCGGGGCUCAACCCCGGAACUGCCUUUGAUACUGGGUGUCUUGAGUGUGGAAGAGGUGAGUGGAAUUGCGAGUGUAGAGGUGAAAUUCGUAGAUAUUCGCAGGAACACCAGUGGCGAAGGCGGCUCACUGGUCCACAACUGACGCUGAGGUGCGAAAGCGUGGGGAGCAAACAGG